rnacentral:lncRNA from 1 species
GUUUUGGGUCCACUCUGUAUUUUGCAGGUACUAAAAUGAGUCAAUUAAAUGAUUUCUUCCCUUUUUCCCCCACCACCGAAAAGCAGUUCCCAGCUGUCUCACCCAAACAGGUUUAACAACAAGUUACACCCAGGCUUAUCAGGAUGGUGACUUAAAGCAAGCUACUGGCUCUCUCUCCUCCAGAAGCAAGCCUGGAAAUUGUGAAAGAAAAUGAAAAUGAUUUGAGGGACUAACAACCAUAAUGAUAAUUAUGAGAAUCCUGGAGAGUCUGAAGGCUGGAGGAUCCCCUAAAGGCUAUCUUGAACUUGGGGACAGAGAGGAGAGGGAGGUUGAAUUGUAAUGGUUUCAACCCUGGGCAGAGAAAGCCAGAGGAAAGCUUCUAAACUCAGCUCAUGCACU